rnacentral:rRNA from 1 species
AUGCAGUCGACGGAAGGCCCGCUUGCGGGUACUCGAGUGGCGAACGGGUGAGUAACACGUGGGUAACCUGCCCCCAUCUCUGGGAUAACCGUUGGAAACGGCGGCUAAUACCGGAUACGACCACCUUCCGCAUGGUUGGUGGUGGAAAGUUUUUGCGGUUGGGGAGGGGCCCGCGGCCUAUCAGCUUGUUGGUGCGGUAGUGGCGCACCAAGGCUUUGACGGGUAGCCGGCCUGAGAGGGCGGUCGGUCACAUUGGGACUGAGAUACGGCCCAGACUCCUACGGGAGGCAGCAGUGGGGAAUUUUGCACAAUGGGCGCAAGCCUGAUGCAGCGACGCCGCGUGAGGGAUGACGGCUUUCGGGUUGUAAACCUCUUUUAUCCACCACGAAGGCCAGGUAUUCGCCUGGUUGACGGUAGUGGUUGAAUAAGCGCCGGCUAACUACGUGCCAGCAGCCGCGGUAAGACGUAGGGCGCGAGCGUUGUCCGGAUUUAUUGGGCGUAAAGGGCUCGUAGGCGGUUGAUUGCGUCCGCCGUGAAAGGCCUCGGCUUAACCGGGGUUUUGCGGUGGAUACGGGUCGACUUGAGGCAAUUAGGGGAGAUCGGAAUUCUACGUGUAGCGGUGAAAUGCGCAGAUAUGUGGAGGAACACCGGUGGCGAAGGCGGAUCUCUGGGAUUGUUCUGACGCUGAGGAGCGAAAGCGUGGGGAGCGAACAGGAUUAGAUACCCUGGUAGUCCAUGCUGUAAACGGUGGGCGCUAGGUGUGGGGUCACGUUGGUUGAUUCUGUGCCGUAGCUAACGCAUUAAGCGCCCGCCUGGGGAGUACGGCCGCAGGCUAAACUCAAAGGAAUUGACGGGGG